CAGCAGCCGCGGUAAUACCGGCGGCCCGAGUGGCGGUCACUAUUAUUGGGCUUAAAGCGUCCGGAGCCGGGUUGGGAAGUCCUCCGGGAAAUCUGGCCGCUUAACGGUCAGAAUGCCGGAGGAUACUCCCAGCCUAGGGAGCGGGAGAGGCCGAGGGGAUUCCCGGAGUAGGGGGGAAAUCCUAUAAUCCCGGGAGGACCACCGGUGGCGAAGGCGCUCGGCUGGAACGCGUCCGACGGUGAGGGACGAAGGCCAGGGGAGCAAACCGGAUUAGAUACCCGGGUAGUCCUGGCGGUAAACGAUGCGGACUUUGUGUCGGACAAGCUAUGAGCUUGUCCGGUGCCGGAGGGAAACCGUUAAGUCCGCCGCCUGGGGAGUACGGCCGCAAGGCUGAAACUUAAAGGAAUUGGCGGG
rnacentral:rRNA from 1 species